rnacentral:rRNA from 1 species
GGAUUAGAUACCCUGGUAGUCCACGCCGUAAACGAUGUCGACUAGCCGUUGGGUCCCUUGAGGACUUAGUGGCGCAGUUAACGCGAUAAGUCGACCGCCUGGGGAGUACGGCCGCAAGGUUAAAACUCAAAUGAAUUGACGGGGGCCCGCACAAGCGGUGGAGCAUGUGGUUUAAUUCGAUGCAACGCGAAGAACCUUACCUACCCUUGACAUCCUGCGAACCCGGAAGAGAUUCCGGGGUGCCUUCGGGAGCGCAGAGACAGGUGCUGCAUGGCUGUCGUCAGCUCGUGCCG